rnacentral:RNase_P_RNA from 1 species
CGAGCCAGGCAGUCGCGGGGCUUCGGCCUCGAGGAAAGUCCGGACACCGCAGAGCAGGGUGCUGGUUAACGGCCAGCCGGGGAAACCCGAGGGAAAGUGCCACAGAAACGAAACCGCCCCUUCGGGGGUAAGGGUGAAAAGGUGCGGUAAGAGCGCACCAGCGGCCUGGUGACAGGUCGGCUGGGUAAACCCCACUCGGUGCAAGGCCAAAUCGGGGCGUUACGGGUUGCUCGCCCAGUCCCAGGUAGGCCGCAUGAGGCACCCGGCAACGGGGGUCCCAGAUGGAUGACUGUCCACGACAGAAUCCGGCUUACGGCUCGCUAA